CCCGCCUCUACAGGCAUUGCAGCGCGACUGCAGGUGUCGUGUUUGUGCCACUAGGUGGCAAACAGGAAUCUGGCUACAGCUACACUUUGCAUCCUGAUUAGGUGGGUGCUCAGAAAGAUUUAAUAGCCUGACAUG